rnacentral:tRNA from 2 species
GCCUCGGUAGCUCAAUGGUAGAGCAGUUGACUCUUAAUCAAUUGGUUGUGGGUUCAAGUCCCUCCCGGGGUACCA